rnacentral:rRNA from 1 species
GCCGGAGCUUCUUCUAACGCUACCGUCAUUAUCUUCACGUUUGAAAGUACUUUACAACCCUAAGGCCUUCUUCAUACACGCGGCAUGGCUGGAUCAGGGUUUCCCCCAUUGUCCAAUAUUCCUC